UUUAAAGAGAGUUUGAUCCUGGCUCAGGACGAACGCUGGCGGCGUGCCUAAUACAUGCAAGUCGAACGAACGGAGGAAGAGCUUGCUCUUCCAAAGUUAGUGGCGGACGGGUGAGUAACACGUGGGCAACCUGCCUGUAAGUUGGGGAUAACUCCGGGAAACCGGGGCUAAUACCGAAUGAUAAAGUGUGGCGCAUGCCACGCUUUUGAAAGAUGGUUUCGGCUAUCGCUUACAGAUGGGCCCGCGGUGCAUUAGCUAGUUGGUAGAGUAAUGGCCUACCAAGGCAACGAUGCAUAGCCGACCUGAGAGGGUGAUCGGCCACACUGGGACUGAGACACGGCCCAGACUCCUACGGGAGGCAGCAGUAGGGAAUCUUCCGCAAUGGACGAAAGUC
rnacentral:rRNA from 1 species